UCUCUCUCUCUCUCUCUCACACACACACACACACACACACACACACACACACACACACACGGACAUCUCUUAUCUCUUAUAUCCCAGGUUGGCCUCGAACUCACCAUGUAGCUGAGGAUGACUUUGCACUUCUGAUUUUCCUGCCUCAUCUUCUGAGUCCCGGGUGUGUACCAUCUGCCACGCCUACUUCCUUUACAGCUUGGGUUGUUACAGUUCCAUUCCAACAUCUGUAUCCCAGGAUCUCAGUAACCACAUCCCAUGGAAACACCUAUAACUCCUAGAAAAAAAUUAUCAGCUGAAAUGCCAGCAACAUUUGUGACAUCUCUGGAUACAUUGUAUCAACUUGUUCUCCAAAGUGAGCGUACCAAUUUUCAUGCCUUCUAGCAAGCAUGGGAAGUGUGUGGUUUCAUUGCACACUGAGAGGCUUGUACACAGCUUCUGUUAAUCUUGGUAGACCAGGCAGCAUCCAAUUCUCACCGUCUUUCAUCCCGUGAUACCACUCAGUUUUCUAACUAACAUUAUUUCUAAAUAUUAAGAUAAUCAACAGUGGACAGAAUUUUUUUUUAUAUUGUUCAAACUGAAGAAAUGAAUACAAACUGAGAUACCAUGGGCAGAUUUAUCUCAUCGGUGGGAAUAAGACCCCAUGUAUGACCUUCAGGCACAGUGCUGGGGAGGGCAGGGAGGAAAGGAAGAGAAAGAAGACUCAACAGUGAAUGAAUUGGCCCCACACGCUCAGGGUUCAUCCCUAGUUCAGGGAAAACAUGUGCUUGUAAGGUUCGUUCUUACAGCGGUGGGGAUUCCUGAAGGGUCUGAUGGUAGACAAGAUUCCAUCCCUGCAGUAACCAUGAAGAUCACCUUGGCGGUAGAAACGACUGGCAUGACGUCAAAAAGAUAGUAGCUACUGGAUACUGAUUAUCCAUCUAUCCGUCUUGCCCUUGGUGAUGAUUUAGAAGCAUCAUUCUUACAUCGUGCUCGAGAAGACACAGACACCAACAGCGCAACUAUUGAGUGAUGUUUCUUGGGAAGAUGGGAGUGACCGUCUACUCCCCCAGAAAGGAUGCCAACAAAGGACCCAAUAAAUGAUCUCAUAUAAGUUUAAUCUAGUAAUAGACCACUGAGUUUAUCAAGGCGAAUCACAGAGGUGUAGAUAAAGGGAUGGCUCUCUGGGACUGAAAAGCCUACCCACAAUGGAUGACCCUUCAACAAAGUUUCAGACCUGAAAGAAUUAACCAGUGCUACACUGGGGGACUGGGGCCGUGAGACAACAGUACUCUAAAGGGACAUGACAGAGCCCCUGAUGGUUCAUCGACAUUCACAGGCCCAUCCCUCCCAGGUGCUGGCAUUUGCUCAGCAGAAGCUUCUGUGCACCUGGACAGUUUGUCCAGGGUUUUCGAGGUGGCGUUGAACGUCCACGUUCCACUGUCCUCGAGGAGGACUCAGAGGGACAUUCCCAAGAUGGCAGGAAGGAAUCUGUGUGCAGCUUGUCAUCCAAGUCUUUGAAGCUUUUUGGUGUUUUCUGCUGAGCGUACUGGCCUAGGACAUGUAUGGGUGCUGGGAUGGGGUCAUCUGCUGAGAGGAGAGUGACAGUGAGCAGACAAGAGCUUCACCUCAGCUACCCAUGUCCUGAGGAAGGAGGCAUCAGUCAAAUGGAAGCCUAGACCAUCCGCUGGGCAGUGCAGCUGAUGGCUCCCUGGCCACCUCAUUUAAACCAAAAUAGCCUUUGAACAUUCUUUUCUGUCUUGAGUGAGGCUUCAGUCCCAUUUCUUUAGUUCUCAAUGGAAUAGACAAAUCCUAUUUCUCCCUUACCAAGAUCUAAAGUUUCACUCAUCAGCACACUGAUAGAGGAAUUUGACCUAAAAUUAAACGCUGCUUUGCAAACGUG